rnacentral:rRNA from 1 species
AUACGUAGGUGGCGAGCGUUAUCCGGAUUUACUGGGUGUAAAGGGCGCGUAGGCGGGAAUGCAAGUCAGGUGUGAAAUCUAGGGGCUCAACCCCUAAACUGCACUUGAAACUGCGUUUCUUGAGUGUCGGAGAGGUUGACGGAAUUCCUAGUGUAGCGGUGAAAUGCGUAGAUAUUAGGAGGAACACCAGUGGCGAAGGCGGUCAACUGGACGAUAACUGGCGCUGAGGCGCGAAAGCGUGGGGAGCAAACAGGAUUAGAUCCCCUGGUAGUCCACGCCGUAAACGAUGAAUACUAGGUGUGGGGGGACUGACCCCCUCCGUGCCGCAGUUAACACAAUAAGUAUUCCACCUGGGGAGUACGGCCGCAAGGUUGAAACUCAAAUGAAUUGACGGGG